CAUUAAAGGAUCAAAACAAUUUGUCCUUUAGCGUUUUUGGACCUAAACGUAAAAACGUUAACUUUUGGGCCAAAGUGCAAAUACACAAAAGUAUCAAAACUUUAUGUAAUUGCAUAAAAGCCCCAAAAGUACCCCCACUAGUAGGGUGGCCGGUUUUGGAAGAAGAAGUUAGUGAUGUGUGUGUUGAUUUGUGAGUUUUGACAUAAAGCUUGCAAGUGGUGCAAGUGGUGUGUGUGAAAGGAAAUUAAUCCUUACACACCCAUCACCAUAUCUCUUACAUCUCUUACACCUCUUACACCAUUUAAACAAAUAUCUAAAACAUUUAAACAUUUGAAAAUGCAUAAAACAUAAACUUUAUGAAAUAAAUCAAAACUUUGAAUCAAAACACAAACCUUUUUGUUCUUGGCAAAAAUGUCAAGAACAAUGAAGAACAUUCAUGAAAAACCCAAAAUUUUUCCAUGAACUUUUUCACCCAAAAACAUUCCAAAACCAUUCAAACUUUAGGGAAAUAACAUCUAACCAAACUAGGGUACAUAGGG
rnacentral:lncRNA from 1 species